rnacentral:rRNA from 1 species
UACGUAGGGUGCAAGCGUUGUCCGGAAUUAUUGGGCGUAAAGAGCUCGUAGGCGGUCUGUCGCGUCUGCUGUGAAAACUCAGGGCUUAACCCUGAGCUUGCAGUGGGUACGGGCAGACUAGAGUGCGGUAGGGGAGACUGGAAUUCCUGGUGUAGCGGUGAAAUGCGCAGAUAUCAGGAGGAACACCAAUGGCGAAGGCAGCUCGCUGGAACGGUACUGAACGCUGGAGG